UCUCUGGUGGCUUGAAUGGUUAGAGCGCCCGUCUUGGAUGCGGGAGGUCGCCGGUUCAAACCCUGGCCGAAUAAU